rnacentral:lncRNA from 1 species
UAUGUAUGUAUAUCUCUAUAUCAAUAGACCAUUCUAUAAAGGAAAACCAUUUAAAACGUUUGAGUCAAAUAUUUGUAUUAUUCAAGUGUAAAUUUCUUAGGGAUCGAAGGGAUCCCAAUUGCUCUUCGUCCUUCCUAUUGACUCUCGAGACCUGCGCCCUCCUUUUUUGGUAUCUUCGUGGACGCGGAUACAUUCUCAUAAAUUUUUAACUUUGCAUUUUCAAUUUUUCAUGAAUAAUUGACAAUUAAAAAUAGUGUGACUAUGGAUGGUUUUCAUUUAUUUAUGGCUCAACAAAUCAACCAAUUUUGACAUGUGACGUCUCAUUUGAUAGAUAUUUUUGACGCCUACAAUUUUUAUUCGACUAAAGUAUGUCAACUAAAGUGAGUUUCUACGAUCCAGUAAUGUUUGGUAAUUUGAGAAACACCAUGGAAGAUAAGAAAUUCAAUAUUUGUUGACGAAACAUGACGAAACUGACGAAUUUAUAAUACUUCACAGAAGUAACUCACCUCAUAUGCAAAGUCGUUGAAUUCGUCUCUUUUCCUAAGAUAAGAAUCUAUGAAACUUUUUCGUAGAACCUUUUGAUUAAAUAGGUUCUUAUCUAUGCUAGUGUGCAACCAAAAUCCCUAACUUUAAGCUUAAAUACAUAGGUUUUGUAUAUAUUAAAUUAUGACUAAAUAGGGCAGAUCCCUAAUUUUAUAAAUUCUUGUGUAUGCUAAUUUUAGUUAAACUCAGCAUGUGACCACAUGAUGCAGCACUUGUACAUGAAACAAACAGAACUACAGGCGUGAGCACUUUCAUUUCUUCUCUGGUACUUCGUAAUGACUACAUUAGAGUACAUAUUUCAAGCGAAAGGGAAAUAAUUUUAGCACUUAAUAUUUUUUGUUUACAUUUUAAGUGUCCCAAACUUAAACGACCAUACUGUGAGAACUAAUCUACAGGGAAAAAGAAGAAAGAGAUGUUAUAUAAAGUUUGUCAAUAAACACUUUGUUAUAUUUUAAACAAAUAUUGUAUGCAUGAAAUAGAUAAUAACGCAUUUUUCAUCAUAGCACACAGAAGUUGACUGUGUUAUUGUGUCAGUGUAGUUACAUGUUUUUUAUUAUGUGGUAACAAUUCCAUGUCAUUAAUAGUUAUAAAAUAUAAUAUGUAAUAUAAUAAAAAUGAUUAAGUAGUACUUUUAAUCUCCUCAUUUUUAAAUGUUGUCAUUGUGCUUGGAUAUGAACUUUCUAUCAAUGAACAAUGGAAUUAAUUACGAAGUACUAUAAAGAGAAUUUUACUGAAUUUCAAUAACUGUGUACAAUAUCUCUAUAACUUUGCAAGAAAGUAUUUGGUGACAAACUUUAUAUAACAUUUUUUUCAUCUUUUUGACUGUAGAUUAAGUCCUUGUGGUUUGGCCAAUUAAGUUUAGGAUACCUCAUAUAUAUUAACAUUAAUGCAAUUAUAUUAUGAAAGUUUACAGAAUCACAGAUUGUGUUUUAUUAUAAAGUUGGCAUGAACAAUACGACAUAUAUAAAUAUAGCCACUUUUUACGUCAGAGUACAUAUAAAAAUUAGUUUAUCCGUAUUUACAUUAUUUUAUGAAAGUACAAAAAUAUAAUAUCUCAGAAAUGCAGAUACUUUAAUAUUGUUACUAUUUACAUCAACUUAACAAAGUAGGAAUGAAUGUAAUACUUGAAUAGUGAUAGCCUUCCUACAUAUAUUUUUAACGAUAUCAUAGGCUAUAAUUUUUGGAAGAUAUUUUUAUUAAUUAAAGUUCCAUAUGCUUCUUCUAUAAUUUGAAGACUUUGCAAGCUUUAACACAUUGGCUGAAACUGUUUCUUACAUUGCUCUGUAGAAAACAUUAAAUAUAUAAUGUAUAAAUUUAAUUUUUCAAAACUUUAAUUAUUCAAAAAGUAGCAGAAAAAUAGAAAAACUGAAGAAUAAACAUGCAGAUUCUAAAUAACAUGCAUAUGAAAAAAUUUCAAUAAUAUAUGCAAAUAUUUAAUAAAUAAUACAUAAAUAUCCUGUUUUAAAAUAGAAAGUAAUUACUUUUCCAUGUUUACAUAAAUAUAGUGACUUACAUGUCACUUGAAUUUUGGUUCUAAUUAGACUAAAUGAUAAUGCAUGUACAUCCCAUUGCAUAUAUAAAUAAAUAAAUUAUAUUAGUUUCAUUCCAAUAGUUAAGCACCACC